UUAUUGUUUUGGAUUUUUUUCUUCUUCUGUGUGGUUGUAAUUUUUAGCGUUAUUAAGUUUUAGGUCACAUGCUUGGAUAAGAUUUCCACCAAACUAUAUUCUAUAGGUAAUCUGAGAAAUUUGUUCUAUACGAGAGGAUCUUCGGCCUGUGGUAGUAUCUAUAUGCGCAACUCUGCAGUAAACAAUGUUGACAGUUCUUUUAUUGGUGAUAUUCAGUAGAGGGUGUUCAAGUCCUAUUCAUUACCAACUCUAUCACAAUUCAAAAACAGCCAACUGAGGCAAAAUCUUGCAAAACAAAUAAAUUGAAGGCUUAAACGGGAAGCAAAUGAAGAUGGUGUAUUGUGCUCAGCAAAGCCAAUGAAUAGGCUUGAAAAAGAAUAGGAAGAUCUCGCAUGGUAAUUGCAGCUGGGGAAUUAAAGAUUCGCUGACUUGGAAGUUUCAAUCUGUGUGUAUGCAUAAACACUGUGUUAUCCAGUUGUUGCGAUGGACCAGGUAGUUACUGUCUGUGUGGGUAACAAAACAAUAACUAUUUAUGUUAAAUGUGUCUUUGGUCAUACAAUUUUGCAGUCCAGAUGCCUAGAGGCUAAGUUAGUCGAGGUUUCAAAACUUCGAAAAACAUUGGGCAUGAGCAUGGAGCUGGAAGCUUCUAAAUCAGCACCUUGACUUAGUGCAAUAAAAGUUUGCUGCCUCAAAGUCAUCUGGAAACAUCUACAAAAGGAAUAUCAUCUUCAGAUUGUAGAAUUACUGAAUUGGGAGAGUUUUGCAAGGAACAUUCAUGCAUGAAGAAAUUAGAAUCAAGUUUCAUACACAUACAGUAGAACGUGAAAUUUUCCAGCCUCAACUCUGUAAAUGGAAUUCAAAGGAUAACAAUGGAUUUCACGAGUUUCCUUCCAAAUUAGAUUGGGAUGUGUUGUGGGAAAUUAAAAGGUAUAAAGAGUUUGGAACGCAACAAACAUGGGAGGUAUGGUCGUUGUUACUGCGCUUUUUUUCUUUUUCUUUUCUUUUUUAUCUUCAUUAUCAGUAGAAUAUCUUGAACACCUAUGCCAAAUCAUUUCAUGAUCUGUACUCGAAGAAAGGAUGGAGAGAAAAUUAUGCAAUUAUUGUGUUGCAUCCCAGUUUCAACUAUAUGCAUGUAUGUAGGUGUCUCUGCCAGUAAUGUUUAUUCAAUCAACACAAAGGAUGUUACAAAGAGUUUCUGCA